UACGUAGGGUGCGAGCGUUAAUCGGAAUUACUGGGCGUAAAGCGUGCGCAGGCGGCGCGUUAAGACAGGUGUGAAAGCCCCGAGCUUAACUUGGGAAUUGCGCUUGUGACUGGCGUGCUGGAGUGUGGCAGAGGGAGGUGGAAUUCCACGUGUAGCAGUGAAAUGCGUAGAUAUCGUUUGGAACGCCGAUGGUGAAAGCGGCGUGCUGGCCCUCUUCUGACGCUGAGGCGCGAAAGCCAGGGGAGCGAACGGG
rnacentral:rRNA from 1 species